UGGGGGAUAUUGCACAAUGGGGGAAACCCUGAUGCAGCGACGCCGCGUGGAGGAAGAAGGUUUUCGGAUUGUAAACUCCUGUCGUUAGGGACGAUAAUGACGGUACCUAACAAGAAAGCACCGGCUAACUACGUGCCAGCAGCCGCGGUAAAACGUAGGGUGCAAGCGUUGUCCGGAAUUACUGGGUGUAAAGGGAGCGCAGGCGGACCGGCAAGUUGGAAGUGAAAACUAUGGGCUCAACCCAUAAAUUGCUUUCAAAACUGCUGGCCUUGAGUAGUGCAGAGGUAGGUGGAAUUCCCGGUGUAGCGGUGGAAUGCGUAGAUAUCGGGAGGAACACCAGUGGCGAAGGCGACCUACUGGGCACCAACUGACGCUGAGGCUCGAAAGCAUGGGUAGCAAACAGGAUUAGAUACCCUGGUAGUCCAUGCCGUAAACGAUGAUUACUAGGUGUUGGAGGAUUGACCCCUUCAGUGCCGCAGUUAACACAAUAAGUAAUCCACCUGGGGAGUACGACCGCAAGAUUGAAACUCAAAGGAAUUGACGGGGGCCCGCACAAGCAGUGGAGUAUGUGGUUUAAUUCGACGCAACGCGAAGAACCUUACCAAGUCUUGACAUCCCUUGACGAUGCUGGAAACAGUAUUUCUCUUCGGAGCAAGGAGACAGGUGGUGCAUGGUUGUCGUCAGCUCGUGUCGUGAGAUGUUGGGUUAAGUCCCGCAACGAGCGCAACCCUUACUGUCAGUUACUACGCAAGAGGACUCUGGCAGGACUGCCGUUGACAAAACGGAGGAAGGUGGGGAUGACGUCAAAUCAUCAUGCCCUUUAUGACUUGGGCUACACACGUACUACAAUGGCGUUAAACAAAGAGAAGCAAGACCGCGAGGUGGAGCAAAACUCAGAAACAACGUCCCAGUUCGGACUGCAGGCUGCAACUCGCCUGCACGAAGUCGGAAUUGCUAGUAAUCGUGGAUCAGCAUGCCACGGUGAAUACGUUCCC
rnacentral:rRNA from 1 species